AAUAUUAGUGUGUAGUUCAAGCUGUACUGACGCUACAGAUAGAAGUUGGCAGAUCGGCUAUACCAACUUCAGAUGCUUGUGGGGGGUCAUAGAGCAAAACGGAGUACACCAUAGUGUUUGUAAAAGUCUCAUCUUUCCAUAGAGGGGUCAUAAUAGUAGGCCAACCCGCUCUUCUCACGAAAUUGCUUGUCUCAAUCCACCACAUCCACCAACGUCUCACUUCUGCAUCUGCGGUGAAAAGUGACAGAGCUCGAGCGAUGUUUGUCAGUACUGACCGUGCUUUUGAACCUGUCCGGAACACCUGGAGCUACGCCGCCCCUUACAGAGAGCAGACUGGGGCUGACCCUGACUGGGUCAUCACGGAAGCCAGCUCUGGAGGAAGUGCUGCAGCUAUGGCCUCUCUCACCAGCUUCAUCUCUUUGUGGUCAGAUACAGGUGGCUCCACCCGUAACCCAGGGGCCCUGUGUGACAUAGUGGCCCUGAAGCCAACCUACGGCCUGGUGUCCAGACACGGCCUCAUCCGCCUGGUCAACUCGAUGGAGGUCCCAGGCAUCGGGAGUGUUCUCGGGAGUGUUCAUGACUCAGCCACCGUCCUGGGUCAGGCAUGUUAUAUGGCCAUCCCAUGGGGCCAGUAUUUUUUUCCUGACCAGGUAUUCUCCAAGGCCAUGAUGUCAGACUCUACUACCAUAACCCUUCCACACUGACAGACCUACCGGGUGACUUUGAUGUCAGGAACAUCUGUGUGGGCAUUUCCAAGAAGCCACCGUAGUGACCAUGUAUGCCACCAGGGAUUUAACAAUGUUAUACAAGGAAGAAUCCUCUCGGAACUACUUCCUGCUCAGACAGAAUUAUGAGCACUACUUUGUGAUGACCCAUCAGGUGCGUUGUCUGAUAGCAGAGGACUUCAAGCAAGUGUCCAGCUCGGGUGUUGACGUGCUGCUCACGCCCACCACACUGAGUGACGCCAUGCGCAACACGGACUUCAUGCAGGAAGACAACCCCACACGUAGUGCCCAGGAGGACAUCUUCACACGGCAACAUGGCAGGAAAUAAUAUGUUCAUCAUUUAACCCUCCCUUUUCAAAGGAAUUGGGUUGGAAUUCCUAUUUCGGUCAACCCUUUGAUUACAAAUCCAAAUGAAGGUCUAUCUGAAACAAAUCAUCUCCAUCAGGGAAGCUGAUAACUUUGCGGGCAGUUAAAGUUUAACCCAUCUUUUAUCCCCCUCACAGUCUGGCCUUCAAACAACCUUACCCUGCCAACCCCUCUCCCUCUCGACUUUCUCACAUUUACCCCUCCAACUCUCUCAUUUUCUGCUCCAGGACUCCUUGCUGUUUCUGUGACAACAGCGCUAUCGAGCAUACCUUCCCAUUGGCCUGCAGCUAAUAGGCCCCACCCUCCAGGACAGGACACUGCUGACAGUAGCCCAGUGGAUAGAGCAGAAGGUGGGCUUUACCCCUAUCCAUUACCAUGGAGAUGCCGUACAGGGGGAGCAAGGUGCAGAAGUCCAUAAGCGAGAGCAGACCUCAGUUGUAUGAGGUGAAACUAAUGAAUACAGAGCUACUCAGAUGAGUGACAUUAUCAUGGUCAUGAAAAGGACAUACUCAAAGAUCUAUGGCCUUUUCUGGAUUUGUUCUGAAGUUACUGACUUCCAUUAAAGACACUUUAUUACUUGC